rnacentral:rRNA from 1 species
GACGAACGCUGGGCGGCGUGCCUAACACAUGCAAGGUCGAACGGUCCGGCACUCAACCGACCCUCAGUCUAACUGUAGGGGGAAGUUGAGUGCCGGAUAGUGGCGGACGGGUGAGUAACGCGUGGGCAACCAACCCUGUACAGUGGGAUAACACCGGGAAACCGGUGCUAAUACCGCAUGACACCUAGAUGGUGCAUACUGUUUAGGUUAAAGGAUUUAACCGGUACAGGACGGGCCCGCGCCCCAUUAGCUAGUUGGUGAGGUAACGGCCCACCAAGGCGACGAUGGGUAGCCGACCUGAGAGGGUGACCGGCCACACUGGGACUGAGACACGGCCCAGACUCCUACGGGAGGCAGCAGUGGGGAAUAUUGCGCAAUGGACGGAAGUCUGACGCAGCGACGCCGCGUGAGCGAAGAAGGCCUUCGGGUCGUAAAGCUCUGUUCUUGGGGACGAAUAAAAUGGCGGUACCCAAGGAGAAAGCCCCGGCUAACUACGUG